rnacentral:lncRNA from 1 species
AGUCAGCUUACGCUUCCCAGUUGUUAGGAGCGGCCUGGUUCCCUUUCAAUUGGUAUCGAGACCUAGGUGAUCCUCCUCGCCGAGCUCUUCAUCGUCGCCAUCGUCUUCGUCGUCAUCGCGCCAUCGCGCCAUCGCGCCAUCGCGCCAUCGUCUUCGCCUUCAUCACAUCGUCUUCGCCUUCAUCACAUCGUCUUCGCCUUCAUCACAUCGUCUUCGCCUUCAUCACAUCGUCUUCGCCUUCAUCACUUCGUCUUCGCCUUCAUCACUUCGUCUUCACCCUCAUCACUUCGUCAUCGCCCUCAUCACCAUCAUCUUCAUCGUCAUCGCCAUCGUCGUCCUCCUCAUCGCCAUCGUCUUUGUCUUCGUCGUCAUCAUCGACACCGCUGACAUCGUCAUCGUCGAAAUCAUCGUCUUCUUUCACAACCAUGGCUUCCACCGCCACCAAACUCGGGCGAAUCGUCUAUGGAGCCCUUCCUAUGCUUCCCGAUGUAUCACCGCCCCGCUCACCCGCCCGCUCACUCUCCUGCUCCUCCGUGUCAUCCAUUCCUGAAGACCUUCAUUCCCUCCGACGACAGCACGACGAUUCCCGCAGCUAUCACAGACACGAAGCUACCCACCCGCAACCGAUCCCCAGACCAACGCUAAACCGGCCACUAGGCCGUCGCCGGCAGAUACGGUCAGCCACAGCCUGCCGACGUCGUCUGCUGUGCAUACGAACAACAACGUAGCGUUUAACGUUCUUCGUCUCGCUAAAAUCGUCCGUAAGCCUGCCCGUCGUACCGGCUGCAAGCGUGCUCGUGCAGCUGCAAUGUCGACAACGACGGGAGCAUGCCAGGCGAACAUUGAUUACAUCCCUUUACUCUAGCGUCUACAUCCGCCACCCUGUUUCCCGAUACCACCCUUCACCACGUCUCCACCUCGUCUCAUCCAUCAUUCGCUUCCGCCAACCAUCCAUCGCCACCUUCCACAUCUGUUAAAAACCUCAUCCAACAUAUCUCCACUCCCCAUCUAGCACCCCCACCCCAACCACCGGACCACCCUUCACCACCUCGAUCCCACAUAGUUCAUCUUAUCACCCACUUUUCACAACCUCCACCACCAGUAUCGCAGUCAUUUCGCAUUCGUUUGGCCAACAGACAUCUCCCCCUCUGCACCUCCACCCUCCUCUCUGACCAUCCAUUCUCACCAUGAGCGCACCACCUUCACCCUUGACCUUGACGGAUAUGAUGCCAUCCUUGGGAAACCCUGGCUUACUACCAACAACCCCCAAGUGGACUGGCGCACCAGCAGCGCCACCAGCGGCAACACCGUCAUUCUCCAUUCCCCCUGCCGCCUGCAUCCAGUAUUCCACAUCAGCCGCCUUCUCCCAUGGACCGACAACGAUCCAGCGCUCUUUCCCAGCCGCCCACCACCUCCACCUGCAGCCCCUACUGCACUAGAAUCCCCAUAUGACAGUGCAGAUACCGUUGUUACAGCUGUUCGCCUAGGGUACAACAAGCGCGCACGCCCGUCCGUCAUGUUCCUCGUGCAGUGGUCCACAAGUAGUAAACGCGACCCCUCAUGGGAACCAUACGACGACGUGCACAACCUGCCAGCGCUUCGUGCCUUCCUGAGGAGCCCAAGCUGGACCGCGUUCAGGCUAUCAGAUCGCUAUGCGUGGUUCAGAGCCAAGUUCCCGGAGCAUGCCCCAAGGAUCGUACAGUUCUUAGCAGAAUAGAGCUGCUGCUGGAUGUGUGUGUGUGUCAUCAUGUGUAUUCGGUAUAUCUGUGCGUCUUCGUUCUGUUCCUGUCCGUAGAUUACACCAGUCAGUUCAACGUAGUGUGGUAUUGCAUUUCACGUGUGUGUUCGCGUCUGGGUAUUUGGGUUCCGUGUAGUCAGAUUUAAGUCGUUUUCGUAGCAGCUUUUGCGUUUCUCCGGAUUCUUAAGCCGGAUAUGGUAGGAGUCGUGCGCCACAUUUUAGGCCGGUAUCCAGUGCGGGGAAGGUUUUGCCUUGACUCCGGUUCCCUUUUGCCUUCCCCUCGUUAGCCUGGUACCGAUUUCGUUCAGGGAAUCGGAGAGGCGCACGACUAUGGCCGCUUAGUGACGUUUUCGCACCGAGGACGGUGCUUGUUUUUAAGGAGGGGAGUGUGUAAGGUUUUGCAGUUCGUUAGCGCGCGCUUCCGAG